UAUGGUGUCAGCAUUAGAAUUAGGAGAAGAGGAAGAUGUGGAAUCACCUUCUCUUCCUGAGUAUCAAGUUCCAUUAAAGGUUGAAGAAAAAAAGAAGCACAGAGGAAGUGACAUGGAAGUAUCAGAAAACAUACAUGAUGCUGCAGCUGCUGGAUUAAUUCCACAAAGACAGAAUGGAAAAACUGAUAACCAUCAAUUGCCUGUUACAGAAAUAAAGAUUCUGAUAGGGAACCUGGUUUACAUAUGAAGAAGUUAAAGGUGAAAAUGAAAAAGGGACAUCAAAAGGAUCUGAGAUCACACCAGUGUUGCAGGAGGCAGAUUCCCUAACUGGUGGUCCACUACAAAAGAAUGAUGGCAGCCAUUUCAGUGAAAAGGAUCAGCAUGAAAGCAAACCUGCAAAGAAAAUUUCUAAGAAAAAGAAAAAGGUCAAAAA